rnacentral:lncRNA from 1 species
AGCCUCCAGACAGCAGUCCCCUGGGCUGCUUCUUUGUCUGAGGUCAACUAAUUCUUCUUUCCCCAAGAAUUCUUGGGUUUGUCCCACUGCUUUGCUCUGCACCGCACCCACCUGUUUCUUGGGGUCAAGGUUUCCAUGGCUAAGCCUUGGGAUCAGCCAUAAAUACCCUCCUACUCUCCAGCUCCUGGAGUAGACCUCAAUCUGUUAAUCCUUUUGAAGCUGGAAACAGCUGGAAACAGAUUGAGGGUAAAAAGAGUGAACAGAGACCCGUGGAUGUUAAGCCCAAAGUCUCUUUGUUCCUCAGGUUCCUAGGCCUGUAACUGGAGCUGAAGGGGUGAGGGGUGGGGGGUGGGGAGGCGUCUCCUCCCUCGAUGCUCAAAUCCUGAGGCUGAAUCCUCUUCAACAGCCUGUCCUAUUUCAUUUUAUUUACUCAUUUCGUAUUCCCUCCACCCCUGACCUCCCCAGGAGAGAAGGAAAUUGGGAAAAUGCUAAUUUUAGGACCCACAAAGAUCCCCAGAAAGAUCCCUUUAGUCAUCCCUCAGCAUCUCUGGGGAUUGGUUUCAGGACCCUCCACUGAUACCAAACUCCAGGGAUGCUCAAGCCCCUUAUAUAAAAUGACACACUAUUUGCCUGUAAUUUAGGCAUAUCUUCUUGUUUAUUUUAAAUCAGUCAAGGACAGAACCUGAGCCGCAGCAGUGACAACACAGGAUCCAUAACCUGCUGAGCCACAGAAAUUCCUUUCUCAGAAUAUUUUUGAUCUGCGGUUGGUCGAUUCUGUGUAUGUGGAGAGCCCACUGUGUUAGAUGUUGUCUAAGCAGGAGGCCUCAGUACUAUGAUUACUAUGAUUUUUGCCUCCAUCGAUCUCAUUCUUGUGCUUAUUUCUUCAUUCCUUCCAAGAUCCCCACCACUUUAAUUCAAACAGUAGCUCUGUUUCCCAUAGUCCAAAGCAACCUGUUUCUCAGCAAGUUGCUUUGUAAUUUUUCUAAAAGAAAAAGUAUUCAGUUUCUUAACACCACCCUGGUCUCAUGAGAUAACCUGCAAGGCAAGUUAACUCACAUGCAAUUGAUCAACAGGAAAUGAGGUUAGCAGGACCCGGAAAUUGCUCAGGUUCAUGGGCAAGGGGCAAGUGUUAUCACAGAGAUAGAAUUAUAACUUUCAGCAGAAAAGGAAAAAGAGGAGUUCCUGUUGUGGCUCAGUAGGUUCAGAACCUGACCUAGUGUCCACAAGGAUGUGAGUUAGAUCCCUGGCCUUGCUCAGUGUGGCAUAGGUCACAAAUGUGGCUCGGAUCCGGAGUGGCUGUGGCAUAGGCCAGCAGCUGCAGCUCCGAUUGGACCUUUAGCCUGGGAACGUCCAUAUGCUGCAGGUGCGGCCCUAAGAGGGAAAUGAAAAAAAAAAAAAGAAAGAAAGAAAGAAAACAGCCUGAUUACUGUACUAGGACCAGGAACUUAUAAACUGUGGCUUUAAGAAAACCAACAACAUGGGCCUCUGGGAGCCCCACCCCCAGAAGGGAAGCCCAGCCCUGUGGCUCUCAGCUGGGGGCAGGAACAGGGCCUGGGGGACAACCUUCAUGGCAGCCCACAGACCCCACACCUGUGCUGCCUUGGCCCUGCCAGCUCUGAUGUCAGUGUCGCCACAGAUGCUGCCACUCUGUUUGCUAUGGCGUUUUCUAGACUCCCAGAGAGCUGCCUAACUGAGCCCUUGAGUUCAUUGUUCCAGCAACCAAGUUUUGUUUGGAUACCGCUCUGAUUACAAAGUUUGCAUCAUUUUGUGUGGCCUGCGCCAACCUUAUUUCUACACAAACUCAGUUCCUUUUUGAAACAGAUUUUUACUGCAAUGGGGUUGAUUUACCAUGUUGUGUGUAAACUUAGUUCCUUUAGUAAACGGUUUUGCAGAGCACAGAGUUUUGUAAGGAAACAUAGGUUAGAACAGCAACACCCUUCUUAUUAGCUUUACCUUGAAGACACAUUUUAACACUUAGUUUCAAUGUGCCUCUGUGAUCUCUGUAAAUAGAUUUCAAGUCUUUGCUUUAAGUCUAAGUUGCCCAAAAAACCCUUUGAUAUGCAUUUGCCUGGAAAUGAGAAGACAUGUUCUAAUCCCCUUUCAUCCAAGGUAGCGUGGGUUCGGUGUGGACCAGUUUCUAAGAUGAAUUGGGAACACCAUCUGGACUUGGUUUCUGAGUUACAUAUUGAUAUCUUUAUGAAACCAUUUUAGUUUAUGUCCUACUCAUUCACUUUCAUAGCUUCUCUCUCUCUCUCUGUCUCUCUGUCUGUUUCUAUCUCCCUCUCUGUCUCUGUCUCUCUCCUUUCUUUCCUUUUUCUUUCACUCUUGGAGAGGAGGGUUAAUUUCAUUAAAGCCAAUUUCUUUUUAAAUUUUUUUAUUUUUAAAAAAUUUUUAUUGGAGUUCCCGUCGUGGCUCAGUGGUUAACGAAUCUGACAAGGAACCACGAGGUUGUGGGUUCGAUCCCUGGCCUUGCUCAGUGGGUUAACGUCCGGCGUUGCUGUGAGCUGUGGUGUAGGUCGCAGUCGUGGCUCGGAUCCCGCGUUGCUGUGGCUCUGGCGUAGGCCAGUGGCUAUAGCUCCAAUUCGACCCCUAGCCUGGGAACCUCCAUGUGCCACGGGAG